GACGAACGCUGGCGGCGUGCCUAAUACAUGCAAGUUGAGCGCUGAAGGUUGGUACUUGUACCAACUGGAUGAGCAGCGAACGGGUGAGUAACGCGUGGGGAAUCUGCCUUUGAGCGGGGGACAACAUUUGGAAACGAAUGCUAAUACCGCAUAAAAACUUUAAACACAAGUUUUAGGUUUGAAAGAUGCAAUUGCAUCACUCAAAGAUGAUCCCGCGUUGUAUUAGCUAGUUGGUGAGGUAAAGGCUCACCAAGGCGAUGAUACAUAGCCGACCUGGGAGGGUGACCGGCCACAUUGGGACUGAGACACGGCCCAAACUCCUACGGGAGGCAGCAGUAGGGAAUCUUCGGCAAUGGACGAAAGUCUGACCGAGCAACGCCGCGUGAGUGAAGAAGGUUUUCGGAUCGUAAAACUCUGUUGGUAGAGAAGAACGUUGGUGAGAGUGGAAAGCUCAUCAAGUGACGGUAACUACCCAGAAAGGGACGGCUAACUACGUGCCAGCCGCCGCAGUAA
rnacentral:rRNA from 1 species